AUAUUGAGGGCACCUUCUCAGUAAGUCUUUGUAUCUCUCCCAUGCGUCGUAGAGUGUUUCUAAAUCCAUCUCAACAAAAGAAGAGAUAUCAUUACGUAAUUU
rfam:Gossypium hirsutum cultivar TM-1 chromosome 8, whole genome shotgun sequence